rfam:Schistosoma rodhaini strain Burundi genome assembly, scaffold: SROB_scaffold0008777
AUCCAGCUGACGAGUCCCAAAUAGGACGUAACGCGCUUCCUGUAU